rnacentral:rRNA from 1 species
CAGUAGCCGCGGUAAGACAGAGGAUGCAAGCGUUAUCCGGAAUGAUUGGGCGUAAAGCGUCUGUAGGUGGCUUUUCAAGUCCGCCGUCAAAUCCCGGGGCUCAACCCUGGACAGGCGGUGGAAACUACCAAGCUGGAGUACGGUAGGGGCAGAGGGAAUUUCCGGUGUAGCGGUGAAAUGCGUAGAUAUCGGAAGGAACACCAGUGGCGAAGGCGGCUACCUGGAUUGACACUGACACUGAGGCGCGAGAGCGUGGGGAGCAAACAGGAUUAGAUACCCCCGUAGUCCCUGUCUCUUAUAC